rnacentral:rRNA from 1 species
GACAGAGGGUGCAAACGUUGUUCGGAAUUACUGGGCGUAAAGCGAGUGUAGGCGGUUUCCUAAGUCGGAUGUGAAAGCCCCGGGCUCAACCCGGGAAGUGCACUCGAAACUGGGGAGGCUAGAGUAUCGGAGAGGUUGGUGGAAUUCUCGGUGUAGAGGUGAAAUUCGUAGAUAUCGAGAGGAACACCGGUGGCGAAGGCGGCCAACUGGACGAAUACUGACGCUGAGACUCGAAAGCGUGGGGAGCAAACAGG